rnacentral:lncRNA from 1 species
AAUCAAGCGCGCAGUUGAAGAGGAGUGCAUGGUUUCCGGCAUUUGGCUGGGCCUUUGUCUCUCGCUCCCACCAGAGCUUGGAAUCCGUCUCUGCUCUUCUGCAUUCUCCACCUCGGGAGCCCCUGGGGACUCUGUGACGGCCUCUGUUGCCCUGUGAUCUGCAGGUCCGGAGAGACGCACAGCUAAGAUGUCAGGACAUCCUGGAAGCUGGGAAAGGGUCUUGCCAUCUCUAAGCUGGACCUGGUGACCUUUUUGGAGGGAAAGAAAGAGCCCUGGACUGUGAAGAGUGAGGAGACCAUAGCUGCACAGCCAGAUGGAGUUUCACUCUUGUUGCCCAGCCUGGAGUGCAAUGGCGUGAUCUUGGCUCACCACAACCUCUACCUCCCUGGUUUAAGUAAUUCUCCUGCCUCAGCCUCCCAAGUAGCUGGGAUUAUAGACAUGUGCCGCCACGCCCAGAGAUGGGGUUCCAUCAUGUUUUCCAGGCUGAUCUCAAACUCCCACGGUCAAGCGAUCUGCUGGCCUCGGCCUCUCAAGUCCAGAUGUAUAAUCUCAUCCCUGAACAUUUCUGAUGGUGUGAUUAUGACAUGUGACUUUAUCUGGCAACAGAGUGAGUUGUUGCUCCCGCCUGAGCCCAGCCCCCAGAAAGGAUUGUGACAUAUCGUUGGACCCAGAAUUGAGCACCUGAGUGAUCUGACUCUCUUGCCUAAGACCAGCCCACAGAUGGAAUAGUGACACAUAGCUGAACCCAGAACUGAGGGGAUGUGAUUCUAUUUUUCUGCAUUGGUGCUGCUCACAGGGGACAUUGUGACAUAUCGCUGGACCUUACACUUAAAUGAUUUGAGUCUCCUCCCCUGCCUUGGCACUGCCUACGGAAGGCGUUGGGACAUGUCUCUGAGCCCUAUGCCCAGGUUAUGUGACUCUCCUGCCUGUUCCCCGACCACAUAAGCAAUUGUGACAUAUUGCUGGGUUUGACACCCUGGUAAUGUAACUCUACUGCCAAAAAGGAGCAUUAUGACAUAUAUUUCCAUUCAU